AUUGAACGCUGGCGGCAUGCCUUACACAUGCAAGUCGAACGGUAACGCGGGGCAACCUGGCGACGAGUGGCGAACGGGUGAGUAAUGCAUCGGAACGUGCCCAGUAGUGGGGGAUAGCCCGGCGAAAGCCGGAUUAAUACCGCAUACGACCUACGGGUGAAAGCGGGGGACUCGCAAGAGCCUCGCGCUAUUGGAGCGGCCGAUGUCAGAUUAGGUAGUUGGUGGGGUAAAAGCCUACCAAGCCGACGAUCUGUAGCUGGUCUGAGAGGACGACCAGCCACACUGGGACUGAGACACGGCCCAGACUCCUACGGGAGGCAGCAGUGGGGAAUUUUGGACAAUGGGCGCAAGCCUGAUCCAGCCAUGCCGCGUGCGGGAAGAAGGCC
rnacentral:rRNA from 1 species